rnacentral:lncRNA from 1 species
AGUCCGUGCAGAUGACGCAACCAAGCUCAGGAGGAGCUCGAUGAAGAUCUUGCCCUUUGUUUUCGUUCUAGUUGAUCAGUAGUGGAGCCCAGUUGGGGUCGAUCGGGGACCUUUGUCGCAUUUGGGGUUCUUCUUUUAUUUUGGUUCCGUAGUCGGACCCUGUUUGUAUUUGGUUUAUGUAAUGCUUUAUUCAUGUAAUUGUGUGAACUGGCGAUUGUAAGCCAACUAUGUAUCUCUUUCCUUUAUAUAUUACAUGGGUUGUGUGAAGAUUACCUCACUUACGACAUAUGCCUUCAAUGCGAUUAUGCCUCUAAGUCGUGCCUCGACACGUGGGAGAUAUAGUCGCAUCGAGGGUGUUACAAGUUGGUAUCAGAGCCUUCCCCGACCUUAGGAGCCCCAUUGCUUGAUCGUUUUUAGCAGCCGAGUUGUGUCUAGAAAAAUAUUUUGAGUCAUUUAGGAAUUAUAUAUCGGAAAGUUUAGGAAUUCUUUUUACUUCCCAGUCUCCUCAUCGCUCUGGUAAGGCAUCCUGACGUAGAGUUUUGACUCUUCUCUUCUCAAAUUUCACAAAAAAAAUUUAGGAUCACGCGGGUAUCUCGGAAUCGUUCCGAUGGUUUUAUGAUGAGAACUUUGUCUUGGUGCCUCCUGUCAGGGGUUUUGUGGAAGUGUCCCGGGGAGUUGAGCUCUGAGGUGUUGUCAUCAUAAUUUUAUCGUUGCAGUUCUGGAAUACCUGAGUUUAGUACGCCGACAUCGAAAAUCUCUUUUAUGCAGUUCGUUGGUGAGAUAACCUCGACGCCACCCAGUACUGGGGCGGGAGUUCGGGAGUAUUGCCAUAACUUGUAUAACAGAUGCUUUUCGAAGGUUGAGGUAGACAAUUUCCGAAGGUUUCUUGGUUAUGUGUUGAAGGAUGGAUACAGCUGGAUGUAGGAUUUGCUAGUUUGGGUGAGAUAUUAUGCUUCCCCUGUAUCCCCAACACCUGAUUGCAUAACCGGAAAAUUUCGGGAGUUUCAUAGGUGGGAAUUCAAGUAGCUCCUAGGAUUUCUUUCCGACAGAUGUAUGAUACGAAAUUGGGGUUCGACGUCUAGUGGUCCGCCUAUUCACGGUCGGUUUUAUAGUGGUCUCGUUGUGUCUUAAAGAGUCCUUGGCUAUGCCGACUCGGGGACGCUUCGUAUGUCAUGUGCACUGCCUUGUACAUGAUGGUGCUGUACGAUCGAGCCCGUGUAGGCCCCACCACGAAAACUUCAGACGAAAUCUCUAUCAUAUGUUUGUUCUGGCUUAUUUUACAAGCCAAUCCUUGUUUUGUUUUGAGAUGUGGUAUUCGAGUUGCUUCGAAGUUAAAUGUUGAUUCCAUACCUUUCCCAAAUGGUGUUCUCAUACUCCGGUGUGGAUACCAAUCCUUCUUGAUCAUCAAGAUUGUUUUUGUCAAUCCUUUUAACCGGUGUGCUUCUCUUCAAGUGGAUUCAAUCACUUCAAUAUUCGCAAGAGCAAUUAUCAGUUCUUCUCAAUAUUGCUUGUUUCAUCCGGCUCCAAGUUACCUUUGUUUUUCCCGCCCACCCACCCUUGUUUUUUCUUCAAGGACUCAGAUUUCUUCAUCAAGUAUCCAUUUUAUUCUUGUGAAGUCUCUUCAUUCUUUUCUUUCAAUGUUCGUAUCUGGUGAUUCUCAUGAAGAUUCUAACGAAGCUUCAAGUUCGUCACUCUUCACUCAUUUUCUUCUCCGGUGGAAUUAAUUCAAGCUUUGGUAUUGAGCAUACUCCUUUUCUUUUUGCCCAAUGCCUAUUUAUGCCGGUGCACCUCUUAAUCUUCCACUUCUCGCUAUUCAAUUAUUCUGGAGUGCUCAAGAUAUCUCGAAGAUUCGUGUUUCCACUCUACAUUCGUUCAAACUCUUUCGAGGAUGUUAUUUCAUUCUAGCCAUUUAAUUCAACUGGUGCAUUCCCUCUUUUAAAUCGUUCUACGAUGUUUCUUUUGAGUGGGCCCUGACCCACAGGUCUUUUCCCAGGAUCUUACCUGACUCUUCUAAUUCUCCCGGAGAUAUCCUUAAAAUUCUUUUCAAAGUUUGACGUAAGAAUGAAUUGCCAUCAGUCAAAUGUCCUCCUCUAAAAUCUUUCAAAUUCUUUUCAUCGUUGGCUCAACCUUUCCAUUAUUCAUUCCGGAGUGCCUCAACAAUUCACGGUGGUGUCUCUCGUUGUCAUUUGAAGACCGAAGAAGAGUUUCUCUUUAAUCUUGCUCCAUUCUCUUCAAGAUUCGUGAUUCUAGCUUGUUGCCAUCCUCUCAUAAUUAUUUGCGAUUGUGAGAUAUUCUUUUCAACCAUCCAGAGUAAUUCAGGAGCCUUUUCAGUUCGAUUCUCCGGAGCCCAUCAUCUCAUAAUUAUUCUUUCCCAGCUUUCAGUUACCGUUCUCCUAAUCUUACCGGUGCAUCGAUCAUUUAUCCUCUAAUCAGUUCUUGAUCUCUUCGUUCUCAUGUAUCUAGAUUCUCUCAAGCUUCGUCGUUCAUUUGCUAAUUCUUCCCGGUGUUGUCCUUAUCUUUUCCUUGGUCAUUUUAAUUCUUACGGUGGUUCGUGCAAGAUUCCUCUUCUUUCGUUAUCAUAUCAAUUCAUUCGCUGUUUCGAUUCCACCGGUGGAUCGUUGAAGACUUUCCCAAGUUUGCGCCAUAUCUAUCCUAAUCUCUCUACGAGAAUAAGUGGUAUGCCAAAUCCGUUGCUUGUCAUCAAUUUAAAUUGGUGAAGGAUACACAUAACAUAAUUCUUACUCUUGUUUCAUCCUUAUGUUAAUCUUUUCUUCCGGAGUUUGUUCACGAUGAUUAAAUUCUUGGGUUCAAGUGCUCAUCCUUCUUUCCCGGAGUUCCAAGCUCUAAUUAUCACGGAGAUCCAUCUAAAUCAUUACAAGGUUUCACCUUGUGUUUUCAACUUCUCUUUCUUUUCGGUAUCUUUUGUUUACCGGAGUUCUUCACGGAAGUUCUACAUGAUGGUUCAUAUAUGAUUUAAUUCAUUCUCGAAGUGCUCAUCGAGAUUCUUUUCUAAGAAGCUCAAGCUUUCUUCAUAUUGUAAUCUGGAGUGCAAUUUCUUUCUACCAUAUUAUCGGAGGUGGUAUUAUGUCAUUCUUGAUCAUUUGAGUUCAUGUUUUUCAUGAUUCACAUGGUGUCAAGAAUGAGAUAUUUUAAAUCCAUCAAUCUCUUCUUUGAGUUAUCUUGGGUUUAUUUUCACCUAAAACUUUCCCUAAGGUUUGUUGCUAUUAUGGUGCUUAUAAAUGACCCAAGUUCUUCUUUUAUCCUCUCGGUGAAAUAAGUUUCUCGUCUCCUUGUCAUAUAAAUCCAAUCAAUUCUUUUCCCGUGAGUGGCAGGCUGUCACCUCAUAAUUUGAGAUGUUUUCCAUAAGACCAUAUCAAGUUUAUUCUUUUCGUUGUGGAUUGUUUCAACAACUCCGUGUGACCCUUCUCUUUAAGAUGCUUUUCAAGCUCAUUGGAGGUAGAAGAUGUUGUUUUCUUCUCCGUUCUUUUGUUCCGUCGAUACAACUUCUAUUCUUUCGUUCCGGAGGCAUCGUGUUGUUGUUCUCUUCAACCCAUCUUCUUGUUGUGUCAAGAUCAUGUUCUUUUCAUGAUUGUCCAUUUAACCGGAGUGUCGUGCCCUCUUUUCAAGUUCUAUCACCUUAUCAAGUUCUUGUUCAAUUACUUUCUUUUCAACCGGAGUGCUACCCGAAUUUGGUCUCCCUUGAUCCCCUUCCUUAACCGGAGUGUAUAUAUAUCUUCCCUUCAACCUCAAAGGUUUCUCAAUGUUCUUUGUCUCUCUUUUCUAAUGGAGUGUUUUCAACUUCGUUCAUCUCCGUUGUAUUCUUUUCUCGAAACGGCCUAACCUUUUUCAAGGUUUGUGCUUUCACUCGUUUGUCAAAGAAGCAACUUAGUUUUACCUCUUCUCUGUCUCUUUCGUUUUCUCUCCGGUGCCAUUCUAGAUCUCGGGACGAGAUCCUCUCGUAGUGGUGGAGUGUUGUAACACCCCGAGACCGAUGUGCCAGGUGUCGUUCAGUUAUUCGCUGUUGUUGCCUUGUCAUUUGCUUGCGUGUUGCAUUUCAUCAUGUCAUCAUGUGCAUUGCAUCAUCAUGUUUUCAAAACUUGCAUUCGUCCGGGUUCCCCCGUUCUUUCCGUUGUCCGUUCUGAGCCCAGAGACACUUGCACGCGCCCGCGGCAUGUCCGAAAUAUUUUUUUAUAAGUGGCCGGAAAAUGUUCUCAGAAUGGGAUGAGAGUUGACGUGUGGUCUUAUUAUAGUGUAGAUAGACCGCCUGUCAAGUUUCAUCGCAUUCGGAGAUCAUUUGAUGCCCCAAUGGAUAACAUAGCGGCAAUAGUAGCCGGUCUAACGUCGGACGUUUUCGGUCUCCAAAAACAGUCGCCGGGCCUUCUCUCUCCCUUUUUCUCAGCCUGAGGCCUUCUGCACAGUCCACUACCUUCCGCCAGGCCCAACCUAACCUCUCCCGUCAGCCCGCGGCCCUCCUCGCGCGCGCGUCCGAAAGUUGUCCCGGACCUGACCCGCUCAGUCAUCAUCGUUUGAUUCGGAUAAUCCCCAAAUAUCCCUCAAAUAUCUUUGUUUUCUUCCUUGGACUCCCCAACCUAUUUAUCUCGACCGUUUGAUUUUAAUCGGAGGGUCCGAUUAGCCCUUGUCAAAAAUCCUUGCUAUAUAUACUGCCUAACCCUAGAUCCUAGGAUGUCCCAUCCGUCCAUUCCGCCCGCCGCCGCCAGCCCACCUGGUCUCCUCCUCGGCUUCCUCACCGAGCCAACCACCAUCCAUCCCGAACCACCUCCCUCCAACCAACCUCCGACCACCUCCCUGGUUUUCCGCGUGGCCCAAAUCGCAGCAGCCAACAACAUCCUCCUACCCGAGCAAGCACGGCCAUGGCCACGCCCACCGAAGCUCUGCACCACCCCAAGCUACUCUGCCUCCGGUGUUGUCCCGCUCAUCCCGGCCUCCUCUACGCCCGGAGCUCUCCUAGCCGUGCGUCUCCUCCUCGUUCCCAGCGAAGCCCCGUCCUCCUGAGCUCUCCCGCAGGCAGCCCCGCGCCCGAUCCAGGCGGAUCGAGGCGACCACCUCGUGCACGCCGAGUCCAAUCGUCGGACCAGCUCCACCACCAGGCGACACCUCUCCUUCUCUUUUCCUUCUUCCCCUGGUGCUUCUCUCCCUCUUUAAUCUACCCGCUGUUGUUCUAAUUCUCUGUUGCCUCUGUGGUUUGCAGAGGCCGAAGCCGACGCUGCCAUGCAAGCCUUGCUCAAGCUCCACCCGCGCCGGAUCCACGUCCUUCGGUUUUCCCCAUGUAACCUUCGUCCUCUGCUUCGAACCAGGACCCGACGAGGGCCUCGCCGUACCCGUUGACCGCUCGAUCUCCUCUGCUUCGGCAUUGAUCCAGAGACGAACGCCGCGCGCCGCCUGCUGGCAUUGACCGCGCCCAGGCCCAGCUGCUUCCCCAUCGAGCGAGCGCCCGCCUCGUCCAGCCUCCCCGUUGACCGGUCGCACCUCGUGGCCCAGCUCCAGCCACUUCCGCACCGCACCAGGCCCGGAUCUGCCAGCUCUCUGAAGCCCAAUGUGAGCAGCCCAGUUGCACCAGAUUCGGCCUGUGUAGUUUUUUCCCAGAUCUGCGAAUUUAGCUUUUAUCCCAGGAUUUACUGUUUUGUAGAAAAGUCCCCCUAGUUCAUGCAUUUAAUAACUCACAAUUGGUGCAUCGGAUUAAAAUGUUUCAUAUAUGAAACUUGCUUAGAAUUUUGUCUAGAUUCAUAAUAUGCAACUUUCACCCAUGUUUAAAAUGUUUAAAAUGCUGUUUGAGUAAAUUUGCUCCUAUGCCAUGUUAAAAUGAUUUAAUUCAUAACUAAAUAACCGUAACUCCGAAUUUAAUAAACUUUGUAUGUAAAUGGGGUAGAAUUUUGCCUAGUUUAACAUGGUGGCAUAAUCUUGCAUGUUUAAUAACCAUAAAAUAUGGUUUAGGGCAGAACAGGACCAAACCUAAAAUAUGCACAUGAGGAGUUUCCGGAUUUGUUGUUCGUUGCUUCCGGCCUCAUUUAACCUUGACUAGAUAGGUAGCUUUCAUUUGCUUCACCCUCUUGCCAUGCUUAACAACAUUUAAUAUUGUUGGGUACAUAAACGGGAUCAAACUAAAUAACUUAUCGUGGUGUUUCGUCAAUAUGCAACUCGUUGCAUAUUGAGCUCCAUUUAAUUUGUUGGAUUGUUUGUGCACUUUGCCAUGCCAUGCCUCAUUAAACCGGACAUGCAUCAUACUUGUUUGCGCAUCAUGCCAUGUCUAUGUGAUGGUUGUUUACCAUGUUGUUUGCUUCUUUCCGGUGUUGCUUCUUCGGGUUGGUUCCGAUAACGUCGUGUUUGUGAGGACCCGUUCGACUAUGUUCGUUUGUCUUCUUCAUGGACUCGUUCUUCUUCCUUGCGGGAUUUCAGGCAAGAUGAUCAUACCCUCGAAAUCACUACUAUCUUUGCUAUGCUAGUUUGCUCGCUCUUUUGCUAUGCCAAUGCUACGAUGCCUACCAUUUGCUUUCAAGCCUCCCAAAUUGCCAUGUCAAACCUCUAACCCACCAUGUCCUAGCAAACCGUUGAUUGGCUAUGUUACCGCUUUGCUCAGCCCCUCUUUUAGCGUUGUUAGUUGCACGUGAAGAUUGAAGUUUGUUCCUUGUUGGAACAUGGAGAUGUUGUUCCUUGUUGGAACAUGUUUACUUGUUGGGAUAUCACAAUAUAUCUUAUUUAAUUAAUGCAUCUAUAUACUUGGUAAAGGUUGGAAGGAUCGGCCUUAUGCCCGAUGUUUUGUUCCACUCUUGCCGCCCUAGUUUCCAUCAUAUCGGUGUUAUGUUCCCGGAUUUUGCGUUCCUUAUGCGGUUGGGCUAUAAUGGGAACCCCUUGACAGUUCGCCUUAAGUAAAGCUCCUCCAGCAAUGCCCAACUUUGGUUUUACCAUUUGCACUAACAACCUACCACCUUCCCUUGGGUUCUGUAGACUCAAGGGUCAUCUUUAUUCUAACCCCCCCGGGCUAGUGCUCCUCUGAGUGUUGGUCCGACCGAGUAGACUGCGGGGCCACCUCGGGGCAACUUGAGGGUUGGUUUUACUCGUAGGAUGUCUCAUCUGAGUGUGCCCUGAGAAAGAGAUAUGUGUAGCUCCUAUCGGGAUUUGUCGGCACAUUCGGGCGGUGUUGCUGGUUUAGUUUUACCCUGUCGAAAUGUCUUGUUGUACCGGGAUACCGAGUCUGAUCGGAACGUCUUGGGUGGAGGUCUAUUCCUUCGUUGACCGUGAGAGCUUGUGAUGGGCUAAGUUGGGACACCCCUGCAGGGAUUUGAACUUUCGAAAGCCGUGCCCACGGUUAUGGGCAGAUGGGAAUUUGUUAACGUCCGGUUGUAGAAAACCUGAACUUGGCCUUAAUUAAAAUGAAUCAACCGCGUGUGUAACCGUGAUGGUCUCUUUUCGGCGGGGUCCGGGAAGUGAACACGGUUGUUGGAGUUAUGCUUGACGUAGGUUGCUAUAGGAUCACUUCUUGAUCAUACUUUUAUCGACCGUGCUUUGCCUUCUCUUCUCGUUCUCAUUUGCGUAUGUUAGCCACCAUAUAUGCUAGUCGCUUGCUGCAGCUCCACCUCAUACCUUUUACCUUACCCAUAAGGUUAAAUAGUCUUGAUUGUGAGGGUGCGAGAUUGCUGAGUCCCCGUGGCUCACAGAUACUUCCAAAACGAGCUUGCAGGUGCCGAUGAGUCCGUGCAGAUGACGCAACCAAGCUCAGGAGGAGCUCGAUGAAGAUCUUGCCCUUUGUUUUCGUUCUAGUUGAUCAAUAGUGGAGCCCAGUUGGGGUCGAUCGGGGACCUUUGUCGCAUUUGGGGUUCUUCUUUUAUUUUGGUUCCGUAGUCGGACCCUGUUUGUAUUUGGUUGAUGUAAUGCUUUAUUCAUGUAAUUGUGUGAAGUGGCGAUUGUAAGCCAACUAUGUAUCUCUUUCCUUUAUAUAUUACAUGGGUUGUGUGAAGAUUACCUCACUUGCGACAUAUGCCUUCAAUGCGAUUAUGCCUCUAAGUCGUGCCUCGACACGUGGGAGAUAUAGUCGCAUCGAGGGUGUUACACAAUAUUUG